rnacentral:tRNA from 2 species
GGGCGCAUAGCUCAGUUGGUAGAGCAGCUGACUCUUAAUCAGCGGGUCACAGGUUCGAGCCCUGUUGCGCCCACCA